rnacentral:rRNA from 1 species
GAUGAACGCUAGCUACAGGCUUAACACAUGCAAGUCGAGGGGUAACGAGAGGAAAGCUUGCUUUCCUUGUCGACGACCGGCGCACGGGUGAGUAACGCGUAUCCAACCUGCCCCCAACUAGGGAAUAACCUUGCGAAAGUAAGACUAACACCUUAUAAUUUCCUCAGAUGUCAUCUGACGAGGAAUAAAGAUUUAUCGGUUGUGGAUGGGGAUGCGUCUGAUUAGCUUGUUGGCGGGGUAACGGCCCACCAAGGCAACGAUCAGUAAGGGUUCUGAGAGGAAGGGCCCCCACAUUGGAACUGAGACACGGUCCAAACUCCUACGGGAGGCAGCAGUGAGGAAUAUUGGUCAAUGGGCGGAAGCCUGAACCAGCCAAGUAGCGUGCAGGAUGACGGCCCUAUGGGUUGUAAACUGCUUCUAUACAGGAAUAAAGUUAGCCACGUGUGGUUAUUUGUAGGUACUGUAUGAAUAAGGACCGGCUAAUUCCGUGCCAGCCGCCGCCAGUAA